UACGUAGGGGGCAAGCGUUGUCCGGAAUCAUUGGGCGUAAAGAGCGUGUAGGCGGUUUGGUAGGUCCGCUGUGAAAACUCGAGGCUCAACCUCGAGACGCCGGUGGAAACCAUCAGACUAGAGUCCGGAAGAGGAGAGUGGAAUUCCUGGUGUAGCGGUGAAAUGCGCAGAUAUCAGGAGGAACACCGGUGGCGAAGGCGGGACUCUGGGCCGAUACUGACGCUGAGGAGCGAAAGCGUGGGGAGCGAACAGG
rnacentral:rRNA from 1 species